rnacentral:rRNA from 1 species
AGAUUGAACGCUGGCGGCAUGCCUUACACAUGCAAGUCGAACGGCAGCACGGGAGCAAUCCUGGUGGCGAGUGGCGAACGGGUGAGUAAUACAUCGGAACGUGCCCAAUCGUGGGGGAUAACGCAGCGAAAGCUGUGCUAAUACCGCAUAAGAUCUACGGAUGAAAGCAGGGGAUCGCAAGACCUUGCGCGAAUGGAGCGGCCGAUGGCAGAUUAGGUAGUUGGUGAGGUAAAGGCUCACCAAGCCUUCGAUCUGUAGCUGGUCUGAGAGGACGACCAGCCACACGUGGGACUGAGA